GUAGUUUUGUUGGCGAAUAAAAUCCGAGUCGCAGUGAAAUUUCGUCGGGAUGGCGAGAGGAGGAGAUGGGGUACGUGUUGAGGGUGAGGUUGUCGUCUUUCUUCGCCGGAGCUGCGAUGGCGUCGUUUAUCGGACUCUCCGUCCUCUACAAUGACUUCAAAGUCGCUCACGAUUCCAUCUCUCACCAGGUGAAAUCGCUUCACGAUUCUCUAGAUAGAAGGAUCUCUGCCCUGGAAAGUUUUAAACAAACUGAAACCCCGUAACAUGCCGAGGCAAUUGAUUAGCGUUUCUUUGAUGUUCUAAUUGUGACGAUGUUUUGGUAUACUUUUUGCUUUGAGAGCAGCUUGAAAACCUCUGUGGAUCACAAACAAUGAAGCCAAGGCAAUUUGUUUGACCCCCA